rnacentral:rRNA from 1 species
AGCGAACGCUGGCGGCAGGCCUAACACAUGCAAGUCGAACGAAGUCUUCGGACUUAGUGGCGGACGGGUGAGUAACACGUGGGAACGUGCCCUUUGGUACGGAAUAACUCAGGGAAACUUGAGCUAAUACCGUAUGUGCCCUUCGGGGGAAAGAUUUAUCGCCAUUGGAGCGGCCCGCGUCUGAUUAGCUAGUUGGUGGUGUAAUGGACCACCAAGGCGACGAUCAGUAGCUGGUCUGAGAGGAUGAUCAGCCACAUUGGGGCUGAGACACGGCCCAAACUCCUACGGGAGGCAGCAGUGGGGAAUCUUGCGCAAUGGGCGAAAGCCUGACGCAGCCAUGCCGCGUGAAUGAUGAAGGUCUUAGGAUUGUAAAAUUCUUUCACCGGGGACGAUAAUGACGGUACCCGGAGAAGAAGCCCCGGCUAACUUCGUGCCAGCCGCCGCAGUAAUAC